GUUUGUUUUGUUAUUCGAUAAAACAACUCGGUGUUUAUGGGUUUAAUAAUUGGUUCUAUAAAAUAAUCUAAUUAUAUGUCAUAAAUGGGUGGUAAAAGUUAUUAUUGUGAUUAUUGUUUAUGCUUUCUUAAGAACGACAUAAAUGUGCGUAAAAUACAUAAUUCUGGGUUAACUCAUAAAAUAGCAAAAAUUCGAUAUAUGCGAAGCUUCACAGAUCCUCGAAAAGUACUGGAGGAAGAAUGCAGCAAAGAAUCUUGCUAUCGUUAUUUAUCUGGCAGGUAUUGCAAAUUUGAUUUACUGUGCAAUUCAACACAUUUUAAUAAAAUCCAACUACAACGAUUACGGGAAAUAGCUGAUCGAUUGGAAAGAACUCGAAGGCAGAAACCCGAUCCUAAGGCAGUAAACGAAAUUAAAAAAAAGAUUAUACUGCCUUGGCAAUCUAACGACGUCACAACAUUUUCAAUAGCGCUGUCAACUUUCAAACUCAAUUGAAGCAUCUUCCCGAAUUCCGAGUAAUAAGACUUUGCAUCCUGUCCACUAAAAUUUAAAACGCGCGGAUCAGUAAGAUGAGCAAGCAGGAAGAAGACAAAAUGCUCUGAAAAAUGGAAUAAUUGAAACACAAGCAACGGUGGAUGUAAAAGAGAAAAUAAAAGAAACGGGAAAGUGUCGAAUAGAGGAAAAUAAGCGACUACUA